UACGUAGGGUGCGAGCGUUUGUCCGGAAUUAUUGGGGCGUAAAGGGCUCGUAGGCGGUCUGUCGCGUCGGGAGUGAAAACUCAGGGCUUAACCCUGAGCCUGCUUCCGAUACGGGCAGACUAGAGGUAUGCAGGGGAGAACGGAAUUCCUGGUGUAGCGGUGGAAUGCGCAGAUAUCGAGGAGGAACACCGGUGGCGAAGGCGGUUCUCUGGGCAUUACCUGACGCUGAGGAGCGAAAGUGUGGGGAGCGAACAGG
rnacentral:rRNA from 1 species